GCUUCCAUGACAUAGUGGUUAGAGCGUCCGCCUCGGAUGCGUGAGUUCAUGGGUUCGAUUCCAGGUUGAGUCA